GAUGAAAUUAUAAUGGGAAAAAAAAGUUUGCUUUUAUAAAGUUCUGUGAGUAGUUGGUCUUGAAUCACAGCAAUGCCAAAUCUCCUUUUUCAGUGUUUUGCAAGUUCUUCUAGGGUAUCCUAUGGCUGUUUGCCAGGGAUUAAUAUACCUUAUUGUGGCUUAGGACUUCAAUAGCAAUGGUGAGGUCCCCAGAUCAAGCACCACCAAGGCACACAGCAUGUUUACAUUUCCUAAUCAGCCUC
rnacentral:lncRNA from 1 species